GCAGUCUGGCCAGUGGUUAAGCGAUGGACUCGAAAUCCAUUGGGUUUCCCGCGUAGGUUCGAAUCUACCGGCUGCG
rnacentral:tRNA from 13 species